rnacentral:tRNA from 1 species
UCCCAUGCCGUGAGUCGAACCGGGGCCGCCUGGGUGAGAGCCAAGAAUCCCGACCGCUAGACCACAUGG